GACGUAGGUGGCGAACGUUAUCCGGAAUUAUUGGGCGUAAAGGGUGCGUAGAUGGCUUGAUAAGUUAGCAGUGGGAAAUCGAGGCUCAACCUCGUGGAAGCUGGUAAUACUGUCAGGCUCGAGUGCAGGAGAGGUUAACGGAACUCCAUGUGGAGCGGUAAAAUGUGUAGAUAUAUGGAAGAACACCAAUAACGGCGAAGGCAGUUAACUAUUCUGUUACUGACAUUGAGGCACGAAAGCGUGGGGAGCGAACAGG
rnacentral:rRNA from 1 species